CGUAGGGUGCGAGCGUUGUCCGGAAUUAUUGGGCGUAAAGGGCUCGUAGGCGGUUUGUCGCGUCGGGAGUGAAAACACCGGGCUUAACUCGGUGCUUGCUUUCGAUACGGGCAGACUUGAGGCAUGCAGGGGAGAACGGAAUUCCUGGUGUAGCGGUGAAAUGCGCAGAUAUCAGGAGGAACACCGGUGGCGAAGGCGGUUCUCUGGGCAUGUUCUGACGCUGAGGAGCGAAAGUGUGGGGAGCGAACAGGAUUAGAUACCCUGGUAGUCCACACCGUAAACGUUGGGCGCUAGGUGUGGGGCCUAUUCCAUGGGUUCCGUGCCGCAGCUAACGCAUUAAGCGCCCCGCCUGGGGAGUACGGCCGCAAGGCUA
rnacentral:rRNA from 1 species